UACGUAGGGGGCAAGCGUUGUCCGGAUUUAUUGGGCGUAAAGAGCGUGUAGGCGGCUUGACAGGUCUGCUGUGAAAACUCGAGGCUCAACCUCGAGAUGUCGGCGGAAACCGUCUGGCUAGAGUCCGGAAGAGGAGAGUGGAAUUCCUGGUGUAGCGGUGAAAUGCGCAGAUAUCAGGAGGAACACCGAUGGCGAAGGCAGGUCUCUGGGCAUUAACUGACGCUGAGGAGCGAAAGCAUGGGGAGCGAACAGG
rnacentral:rRNA from 1 species